UACGUAGGGUGCAAGCGUUGUCCGGAAUUAUUGGGCGUAAAGAGCUCGUAGGCGGCUUGUUGCGUCGACCGUGAAAACCCGGGGCUCAACUUCGGGCUUGCGGUCGAUACGGGCGGGCUAGAGUUCGGUAGGGGAGACUGGAAUUCCUGGUGUAGCGGUGAAAUGCGCAGAUAUCGGGAGGAACACCGGUGGCGAAGGCGGUUCUCUGGGCCUUACCUGACGCUGAGGAGCGAAAGCGUGGGGAGCGAACAGG
rnacentral:rRNA from 1 species